rnacentral:rRNA from 1 species
CCUAGUAACGGCGAGUGAAGCGGCAACAGCUCAAAUUUGAAAUCUGGCUCUCGGGCCCGAGUUGUAAUUUGUAGAGGAUACUUUUGAUGCGGUGCCUUCCGAGUUCCCUGGAACGGGACGCCAUAGAGGGUGAGAGCCCCGUCUGGUUGGAUGCCAAAUCUCUGUAAAGUUCCUUCGACGAGUCGAGUAGUUUGGGAAUGCUGCUCUAAAUGGGAGGUAUAUGUCUUCUAAAGCUAAAUACCGGCCAGAGACCGAUAGCGCACAAGUAGAGUGAUCGAAAGAUGAAAAGCACUUUGAAAAGAGAGUUAAAAAGUACGUGAAAUUGUUGAAAGGGAAGCGUUUAUGACCAGACUUGGGCUUGGUUAAUCAUCUGGGGUUCUCCCCAGUGCACUUUUCCAGUCCAGGCCAGCAUCAGUUUUCCCCGGGGGAUAAAGACUUCGGGAAUGUGGCUCUCUUCGGGGAGUGUUAUAGCCCGUUGUGUAAUACCCUGGGGGGGACUGAGGUUCGCGCAUCUGCAAGGAUGCUGGCGUAAUGGUCAUCAACGACCCGUCUUGAAACACGGACCAAGGAGUCGUCUUCGUAUGCGAGUGUUCGGGUGUCAAACCCCUACGCGUAAUGAAAGUGAACGCAGGUGAGAGCUUCGGCGCAUCAUCGACCGAUCCUGAUGUUCUCGGAUGGAUUUGAGUAAGAGCAUACGGGGCCGGACCCGAAAGAAGGUGAACUAUGCCUGUAUAGGGUGAAGCCAGAGGAAACUCUGGUGGAGGCUCGCAGCGGUUCUGACGUGCAAAUCGAUCGUCAAAUAUGGGCAUGGGGG